rnacentral:rRNA from 1 species
AACGCUAGCUACAGGCUUAACACAUGCAAGUCGAGGGGCAGCAUCAUCAAAGCUUGCUUUGAUGGAUGGCGACCGGCGCACGGGUGAGUAACACGUAUCCAACCUGCCGACAACUCUGGGAUAGCCUUCCGAAAGGGAGAUUAAUACCGGAUGGUGUUUGAAUUCCGCAUGUUAUUCAAACUAAAGAUUUAUCGGUAACGGAUAGGGAUGCGUGACAUUAGGUAGAUGGCGGGGUAACGGCCCACCAUGCCCACGAUGUCUAGGGGUUCUGAGAGGAAGGUCCCCCACACUGGAACUGAGACACGGUCCAGACUCCUACGGGAGGCAGCAGUGAGGAAUAUUGGUCAAUGGUCGGAAGACUGAACCAGCCAAGUAGCGUGAAGGAUGAAGGUUCUAUGGAUUGUAAACUUCUUUUAUAUAGGAAUAAAACCUCCCACGUGUGGGAGCUUGUAUGUACUAUAUGAAUAAGCAUCGGCUAACUCCGUGCCAGCAGCCGCGGUAAUACGGAGGAUGCGAGCGUUAUCCGGAUUUAUUGGGUUUAAAGGGAGCGCAGACGGGCGUUUAAGUCAGUUGUGAAAGUUCGAGGCUCAACCUCGGAAUUGCAAUUGAUACUGGUCGUCUAGAGAUUACAUAAGGUAGGCGGAAUUCGUGGUGUAGCGGUGAAAUGCUUAGAUAUCACGAAGAACUCCGAUUG